CCUACGGGAGGCAGCAGUGGGGAAUUUUGGGCAAUGGGCGCAAGCCUGACCCAGCGACGCCGCGUGGAGGAUGAAGGCCUUCGGGUUGUAAACUCCUGUCAGGUGGGAAGAAAUCUCUGCCGGUGAAUAUCCGGCAGCGUUGACGGUACCACCAAAGGAAGCCCCGGCUAACUCCGUGCCAGCAGCCGCGGUAAUACGGAGGGGGCAAGCGUUAUUCGGAUUUACUGGGCGUAAAGCGCACGUAGGCGGCAUUGCAAGUCGUAGGUGAAAGCCCUCGGCUCAACCGAGGAAUUGCCUUCGAAACUGCGCUGCUUGAGUCCGGGAGGGGGGAGCGGAAUUCCCAGUGUAGCGGUGAAAUGCGUAGAUACUGGGAGGAACACCGGUGGCGAAGGCGGCUCCCUGGACCGGUACUGACGCUGAGGUGCGAAAGCGUGGGUAGCAAACAGGAUUAGAUACCCUGGUAGUCCACGCCGUAAACGAUGGGCACUAGGUGCAGCGGGUGUCGACCCCUGCUGUGCCGAAGUUAACGCAUUAAGUGCCCCGCCUGGGGAGUACGGUCGCAAGGCUGAAACUUAAAGGAAUUGACGG
rnacentral:rRNA from 1 species